UGAGUAACGCGUGGAUAACCUGCCUCACGACUGGGGGAUUAACAGACGAGAAAUUGCUGCUAAUACCGCAGUAAGCGCACAGCAUUGCAUGAUGCAGUGUGAAAAACUAAGGUGAUGUAGAGAUGGAUCCGCGUCUGAUUAGCUAGUUGUAGGGUAAGAGCCUACCAAGGCGACGAUCAGUAGCCGGCCUGAGAGGGUGAACGGCCACAUUGGGACUGAGACACGGCCCAAACUCCUACGGGAGGCAGCAGUGGGGGAUAUUGCACAAUGGGGGAAACCCUGAUUCGCAGCGACGCCGCGUGAGUGAAGAAGUAUUUCGGUAUGUAAAGCUCUAUCAGCAGGGAAGAAAAUGACGGUACCUGACUAAGAAGCCCCGGCUAACUACGUGCCAGCCGCAGC
rnacentral:rRNA from 1 species